AGCGAACGCUGGCGGCAGGCUUAACACAUGCAAGUCGAACGAACCCUUCGGGGUUAGUGGCGGACGGGUGAGUAACACGUGGGAACGUGCCUCUAGGUUCGGAAUAACUCAGGGAAACUUGUCCUAAUACCGAAUGUGCCCUUCGGGGGAAAGAUUUAUCACCUUUAGAGCGGCCCGCGUCUGAUUAGCUAGUUAGUGAGGUAAUGGCUCACCAAGGCUACGAUCAGUAGCUGGUCUGAGAGGAUGACCAGCCACAUUGGGACUGAGACACGGCCCAAACUCCUACGGGAGGCAGCAGUGGGGAAUCUUGCGCAAUGGGCGAAAGCCUGACGCAGCCAUGCCGCGUGGAUGAUGAAGGUCUUAGGAUUGUAAAAUCCUUUCACCGGUGAAGGUAAUGACUGUAGCCGGGGAAGAAGCCCCGGCUAACUUCGUGCCAGCCGCCGCAGUAAUAC
rnacentral:rRNA from 1 species